CGGGUAGGGACCGGUUCCCGAGAGCUAGUUUCUCAGGACUUAGCCGAUUUUUCGGCUGUCUCAAUUCAUACGCGUUCGGGGACCGGUCUCUCCCACCAGGGACCGGUCCCCGAGAGCUCAAAACUGCAGAAUGCAGAUUUUGAUUCUAUAGCUCUCGAAAACCUCCCGUAACUCGCUUUUAAUCAUUUUAACACCUUCGGACUUUCCGAAGUGUACCGUCCUCGCACUUUGGUCAAUUUGACUAAAGUUCGACAUUUUUAUUUUCCGAAUUUUCGGUA
rnacentral:lncRNA from 1 species